GGCCUACUAGUACUACAACACCAGCCUGGAGAUGGAACGCCCUCGAACUCACACUGGGGAGAAACCCUACAUCUGUGAUGACUGUGGGUACCGGGCAGCUUGCAAGAGUGCCUUAUCCCGACAUAGGAGAACCCACACAGGAGAAAAACCCUUCAAGUGUGACCAGUGUGACUAUUCUGCAGCACAGAAAUCCAAU